rnacentral:rRNA from 1 species
UACGUAGGGGGCAAGCGUUGGUCCGGAUUUAUUGGGCGUAAAGAGCUCGUAGGCGGCUCGGUAAGUCGGGUGUGAAACCUCCAGGCUCAACCCCGGGCCUGCAUCCGAUACUCCCGGGCUGGAGGCAGGUAGGGGAGAUCGGAAUUCCUGGUGGUAGCGGUGAAAUGCGCAGAUAUCGGGAGGAACACCGGUGGCGAAGGCGGUCUCUGGGCCUUACCUGACGCUGAGGAGCGAAAGCGUGGGGAGCGAACAGG